AAUUCGCUGGUGUAAUGGUAACACCAUUAGCUGCUUUAACAAAGGGGUGUGGGUUCAAGUCCCACGUGGAUGG
rnacentral:tRNA from 1 species